UUGAACGCUGGCGGCAGGCCUAACACAUGCAAGUCGAGCGGAUGAAGGGAGCUUGCUCCUGGAUUCAGCGGCGGACGGGUGAGUAAUGCCUAGGAAUCUGCCUGGUAGUGGGGGAUAACGUCCGGAAACGGGCGCUAAUACCGCAUACGUCCUGAGGGAGAAAGUGGGGGAUCUUCGGACCUCACGCUAUCAGAUGAGCCUAGGUCGGAUUAGCUAGUUGGUGGGGUAAAGGCCUACCAAGGCGACGAUCCGUAACUGGUCUGAGAGGAUGAUCAGUCACACUGGAACUGAGACACGGUCCAGACUCCUACGGGAGGCAGCAGUGGGGAAUAUUGGACAAUGGGCGAAAGCCUGAUCCAGCCAUGCCGCGUGUGUGAAGAAGGUCUUCGGAUUGUAAAGCACUUUAAGUUGGGAGGAAGGGCAGUAAGUUAAUACCUUGCUGUUUUGACGUUACCAACAGAAUAAGCACCGGCUAACUUCGUGCCAGCAGCCGCGGUAAUACGAAGGGUGCAAGCGUUAAUCGGAAUUACUGGGCGUAAAGCGCGCGUAGGUGGUUCAGCAAGUUGGAUGUGAAAUCCCCGGGCUCAACCUGGGAACUGCAUCCAAAACUACUGAGCUAGAGUACGGUAGAGGGUGGUGGAAUUUCCUGUGUAGCGGUGAAAUGCGUAGAUAUAGGAAGGAACACCAGUGGCGAAGGCGACCACCUGGACUGAUACUGACACUGAGGUGCGAAAGCGUGGGGGGCAAACAGGAUUAGAUACCCUGGUAGUCCACGCCGUAAACGAUGUCGACUAGCCGUUGGGAUCCUUGAGAUCUUAGUGGCGCAGCUAACGCGAUAAGUCGACCGCCUGGGGAGUACGGCCGCAAGGUUAAAACUCAAAUGAAUUGACGGGGGCCCGCACAAGCGGUGGAGCAUGUGGUUUAAUUCGAAGCAACGCGAAGAACCUUACCUGGCCUUGACAUGCUGAGAACUUUCCAGAGAUGGAUUGGUGCCUUCGGGAACUCAGACACAGGUGCUGCAUGGCUGUCGUCAGCUCGUGUCGUGAGAUGUUGGGUUAAGUCCCGUAACGAGCGCAACCCUUGUCCUUAGUUACCAGCACCUCGGGUGGGCACUCUAAGGAGACUGCCGGUGACAAACCGGAGGAAGGUGGGGAUGACGUCAAGUCAUCAUGGCCCUUACGGCCAGGGCUACACACGUGCUACAAUGGUCGGUACAAAGGGUUGCCAAGCCGCGAGGUGGAGCUAAUCCCAUAAAACCGAUCGUAGUCCGGAUCGCAGUCUGCAACUCGACUGCGUGAAGUCGGAAUCGCUAGUAAUCGUGAAUCAGAAUGUCACGGUGAAUACGUUCCCGGGCCUUGUACACACCGCCCGUCACACCAUGGGAGUGGGUUGCUCCAGAAGUAGCUAGUCUAACCGCAAGGGGGACGGUUACCACGGAGUGAUUCAUGACUGGGGUGAAGUCGUAACAAGGU
rnacentral:rRNA from 1 species